UAAAACCCCGGCAAAACCAUAUGUGCGGACUCUCACGAGUACGCCCUCGCCGCCUAGUUCAUAGCUAGGUCGUGAGGUCUGGGCCCCGGCCUGCCGGCCGUCGGGAUGUCCUGGAUCAGAAUGCCGGCUCACCCGUCGAGGUCCGCCUUUGCCGGAACGGGGACAUCUUCAGAGGGCUGGCUCCCCGGAACCCCGUCCGCAAGGCGACCGGGAGGCGAGAUCAGAGUGCGGACUACGCUCGUAGAAGCUGUCUCUACGCGGUCAUGGACGCGGGUUCGAUUCCCGCCGUCUCCACUU
rnacentral:tmRNA from 1 species